CCUACGGGUGGCAGCAGUGGGGAAUAUUGCGCAAUGGGCGAAAGCCUGACGCAGCGACGCCGCGUGAGGGAUGAAGGUCUUCGGAUCGUAAACCUCUGUCAGCAGGGAAGAACGGUCACUGUGCUAAUCAGCAGUGAAUUGACGGUACCUGCAAAGGAAGCACCGGCUAACUCCGUGCCAGCAGCCGCGGUAAUACGGAGGGUGCGAGCGUUAAUCGGAAUUACUGGGCGUAAAGCGCUCGUAGGCGGUAUGUCAAGUCAAGGGUGAAAUCCCCGCGCUCAACGUGGGAACUGCCUGUGAAACGGGCAAACUGGAGUGUGUGAGAGGAGAGUGGAAUUCCAGGUGUAGGAGUGAAAGCCGUAGAUAUCUGGAGGAACAUCAGUGGCGAAGGCGACUAUCUGGCACAUAACUGACGCUGAGGAGCGAAAGCGUGGGUAGCAAACAGGAUUAGAUACCCUUGUAGUC
rnacentral:rRNA from 1 species